CCGGGGUGAGUAAUGUCUGGGAAACUGCCUGAUGGAGGGGGAUAACUACUGGAAACGGUAGCUAAUACCGCAUAACGUCUUCGGACCAAAGUGGGGGACCUUCGGGCCUCACGCCAUCGGAUGUGCCCAGAUGGGAUUAGCUAGUAGGUGGGGUAAUGGCUCACCUAGGCGACGAUCCCUAGCUGGUCUGAGAGGAUGACCAGCCACACUGGAACUGAGACACGGUCCAG
rnacentral:rRNA from 1 species